rnacentral:misc_RNA from 1 species
GACACUCACUUACAAUUCUAGCUAAAACCAUCUCUCCCUCUCUCUCUCUGAGUAAUUUUGUUUACUUUCUUAGAUCUUCAAGAAAAUGGCUAAGGGAAGAGGCAGUGCAGUGGUGGUCUUCGUGUUUUUGUCCAUUUUGGUGCUCCAAUUUGAGGUGGGUAGUGCAGCAACCUUUACUGUUGGAGAUUCUAAAGGUUGGACCUUUAAUGUUGCUGGUUGGCCUAAAGGAAAGCGCUUUAGGGCUGGUGACAUAAUUGUGUUCAACUAUAGUCCUGCAGCACACAAUGUGGUAGCAGUGAACAGGGCAGGUUACAGUACAUGCAAUGCUCCAAAAGGUGCCAAAGUUUAUACAUCAGGGAAGGAUAGGAUCAAGCUUGUGAAGGGGCAAAACUUCUUCCUCUGCAGCUUUGCUGGGCACUGUCAGGCUGGAAUGAAAGUAGCCAUAACUGCUGCGUGAUCUAGCUAGCUAAUUAAGAUCAAGACAUUUGGGAUUUUUAUUUUUAUUUUUUCUUCACUUUAUAUAUGUAAUGAUAGGUUUUGGUGUUAGGAAAGUUACUGAUCAAUGUGUCUUUGUGGUGGUGUGUGACUUGAUUUUGUGGGUGGGUUGGUGUGGCUUCUGGCUAGGCUGCCAAAUAUAUAGAUAUAAUGUUGUGAAAUAAAAUGGAGAAAAAUAAUAGGUUGGUUAGAUUUUUCUUUUUUAAAUCUGGUCUAUGUCUAUUAUGGAUUUAAGAUGUAAGAUAUAUGGUGAAAUCAACUUAUUAAAUACAUGAAUCUCAUUUAUUUAUGUGUAUUCAUGAUUGAUCUGGUUUAGGUAAGAAUUUUCUUAGAAUGAGUCAGGGGAUUGGCUUUAGUUUCAUGGGAUUUUGUUCUUU